ensembl:snRNA U6 U6 spliceosomal RNA
GUGCUCGCUUUGGCAGCACAUAUACUAAAACCGGAACAAUACAGAGAAGAUUAGCAUGGCCCCUGUGCAAGGAUGACACGCAAAUUCCUGAAGCGUUCCAUAUUUUA